rnacentral:piRNA from 1 species
UAUGUGGAUGGACAAAUGAAUGGCGGCA